rnacentral:rRNA from 1 species
UACGUAGGGGGCAAGCGUUGUCCGGAAUUACUGGGCGUAAAGGGCGCGCAGGCGGCUGCUCAAGUCAGGCGUGAAAAGGCCUGGGCUCAACCCGGGAAUUGCGCUUGAGACUGGGCUGGCUUGAGUGCGGGAGAGGAUGGUGGAAUUCCCAGUGUAGAGGUGAAAUUCGUAGAUAUUGGGGAAGAACACCGGUGGCGAAGGCGGCCAUCUGGACCGCAACUGACGCUGAGGCGCGAAAGCGUGGGGAGCAAACAGG